UGGCGACUCCUCCAGCAUCUGCACAACAGCUGCAUUUCCAUCUGUAGACGACAAAUCAUUCAGCUGUGCAUCCUCAGGUGUCAGCUGUCCUUCCUCAGGUGGGGAGUCUUCCAGGAUUCGCUGUCCUUCCUCAGGUGGGGAGUCUUCCAGGAUUCGCUGUCCUUCCUCAGGUGGGGAGUCUUCCAGGAUUCGGUAUUGAACUCCAGCUGCAUUUUCUGGUGCAGACGGUGGGUCUCCCAGCCCAUGCUGGGCAUCAGCUGAUGUUACCUC
rnacentral:lncRNA from 1 species